AAUGAGGUGCCUGAUUAAAGGAUUAUCUUGAUAGGAUAAAUUAUGUAAUAGAUAAUAAUUACCCACAUUA
rnacentral:tRNA from 1 species